CCUACGGGUGGCUGCAGUGGGGAAUAUUGGACAAUGGGGGCAACCCUGAUCCAGCCAUGCCGCGUGUGUGAAGAAGGCCCUCGGGUUGUAAAGCACUUUCAGUGGGGAAGAACGCCUGGUGGUUAAUACCCAUCAGGAAAGACAUCACUCACAGAAGAAGCACCGGCUAACUCCGUGCCAGCAGCCGCGGUAAUACGGAGGGUGCGAGCGUUAAUCGGAAUUACUGGGCGUAAAGCGCGCGUAGGUGGCUUGAUAAGCCGGUUGUGAAAGCCCCGGGCUCAACCUGGGAACGGCAUCCGGAACUGUCAAGCUAGAGUGCAGGAGAGGAAGGUAGAAUUCCCGGUGUAGCGGUGAAAUGCGUAGAGAUCGGGAGGAAUACCAGUGGCGAAGGCGGCCUUCUGGACUGACACUGACACUGAGGUGCGAAAGCGUGGGUAGCAAACAGGAUUAGAUACCCGAGUAGUC
rnacentral:rRNA from 1 species